AAUAAGUGUAGUUUUACACUAUUCACGUUCAACAUUUGACCGUUCAUCUUAUUUAAAAUUUUUUUAUGAUUAGUAUUUUUAUUACUAUUAGAUGAUAAAACAUGAAUAAUACUUUAUGUGUGACUAAAUAUUUUCAAUUUUUUUAUAAUUUUUUCAAAUAAGACGGACGGUCAAACGUUGGGCACGAAUAUCCACGGCUGUAUUUAUU
rnacentral:pre_miRNA from 1 species